rnacentral:rRNA from 1 species
GAUGAACGCUGGCGGCGUGCCUAAUACAUGCAAGUCGAGCGAACAGAUGAGGAGCUUGCUCCUCUGACGUUAGCGGCGGACGGGUGAGUAACACGUGGAUAACCUACCUAUAAGACUGGGAUAACUACGGGAAACCGGAGCUAAUACCGGAUAAUAUAUUGAACCGCAUGGUUCAAUAGUGAAAGACGGUUUUGCUGUCACUUAUAGAUGGAUCCGCGCCGCAUUAGCUAGUUGGUAAGGUAACGGCUUACCAAGGCAACGAUGCGUAGCCGACCUGAGAGGGUGAUCGGCCACACUGGAACUGAGACACGGUCCAGACUCCUACGGAAGGCAGCAGUAGGGAAUCUUCCGCAAUGGGCGAAAGCCUGACGGAGCAACGCCGCGUGAGUGAUGAAGGUCUUCGGAUCGUAAAACUCUGUUAUUAGGGAAGAACAAAUGUGUAAGUAACUAUGCACGUCUUGACGGUACCUAAUCAGAAAGCCACGGCUAACUACGUG